GACGAACGCUGGCGGCGUGCUUAACACAUGCAAGUCGAGCGGUAAGGCCCUUUCGGGGGUACACGAGCGGCGAACGGGUGAGUAACACGUGGGUGACCUGCCCUCAGCUCUGGGAUAAGCCUGGGAAACUGGGUCUAAUACUGGAUAUGACUCCACGGUGCAUGUCGUGGGGUGGAAAGCCUUGUGCGGCUGAGGAUGGGCCCGCGGCCUAUCAGCUUGUUGGUGGGGUNAGGCCUACCAAGGCGACGACGGGUAGCCGGCCUGAGAGGGCGACCGGCCACACUGGGACUGAGACACGGCCCAGACUCCUACGGGAGGCAGCAGUGGGGAAUCUUGCGCAAUGGGCGAAA
rnacentral:rRNA from 1 species